rnacentral:rRNA from 1 species
AGUGAACGCUGGCGGUAGGCCUAACACAUGCAAGUCGAACGGCAGCACAGUAAGAGCUUGCUCUUACGGGUGGCGAGUGGCGGACGGGUGAGGAAUACAUCGGAAUCUACUUUUUCGUGGGGGAUAACGUAGGGAAACUUACGCUAAUACCGCAUACGACCUACGGGUGAAAGCAGGGGAUCUUCGGACCUUGCGCGAUUGAAUGAGCCGAUGUCGGAUUAGCUAGUUGGCGGGGUAAAGGCCCACCAAGGCGACGAUCCGUAGCUGGUCUGAGAGGAUGAUCAGCCACACUGGAGCUGAGACACGGUCCAGACUCCUACGGGAGGCAGCAGUGGGGAAUAUUGGACAAUGGGCGCAAGCCUGAUCCAGCCAUACCGCGUGGGUGAAGAAGGCCUUCGGGUUGUAAAGCCCUUUUGUUGGGAAAGAAAAGCAGCAGGUUAAUACCCCGCUGUUCUGACGGGACCCAAAGAAUAAGCACCGGCUAACUUCGU